rnacentral:rRNA from 1 species
UUUAAAGUCUGACCUGCUCAAUGAAUUAAAUUUAAAUAGCCGCAGUAUUUUGACUGUGCAAAGGUAGCAUAAUCAUUAGUUUUUUAAUUGAAAGCUGGAAUGAAAGGUUUGAUGAGAAAAUAACUGUCUCAAUUUUAAUGAAUUAGAAAUUUAUUUUUAAGUAAAAAAGCUUAAAUUUUUUAAAAAGACGAGAAGACCCUAUAGAGUUUUAUAUAAAAAUUUAGUUAUUUUUUUUAGAAUUUUAUAUUUUAAUAAAGUUUUUAUAUUUUAUUGGGGUGAUAGAAAAAUUUAAAUAACUUUUUUAGAAAUUAACAUAAAUUAAUGAAUAUUUGAUCCUAUAUUUUAGAUUAUAAGAAUAAAUUACCUUAGGGAUAACAGCGUAAUUUUUUUAAAGAGUUCAAAUCGAAAAAAAAGAUUG